UUACAGCCAUAUCAUGUUGAAACACUGGUUCGCAUACAAUCACUUAAGCAAUGUUGAGCCUGAUCAGUACUUAGAUGGGUGACUGCUUGGGAAUACCGGGUGCUGUAAG